AGAAAUCAGUUCAGCACUAAGUCACUUUGUCUAUAUGGCAAAUGUGAGAUGCAGUGUAUGGAGCGUCAAUAUUCUAGUAUGAGAAAUUAACGAUUUAAGUCCUUCUUAAAUGAGGCCAUUUACCCAUAGAGGGUGCCAGGCCCGUAUAACGUUAAUGAUUACUAGAUGAUGUUUCCAAAGAGUCGUGUUGCUUGAUAGUGCAGCACUAAGUGGGUGGUAAACUCCAUCUAAAACUAAAUAUAACCAUGAGACCGAUAGUAAACAAGUACCGUGAGGGAAAGUUGAAAAGAACUCUGAAUAGAGAGUUAAACAGUACGUGAAACUGCUUAGAGGUUAAGCCCGAUGAACCUGAAUAUCCGUUAUGGAAAAUUCAUCAUUAAAGUUGUAAUAUUUAAACAAUAUUAUAAUAAUAGUGUGCAUUUUUUCCAUAUAAGGACAUUGUAAUCUAUUAGCAUAUACCAAAUUUAUCAUAAAAUAUGACUUAUAGUUUAUUCAAAUUAUUAUGCUUGCAUUUUAACAUAAAAUAAAUGUCAUUAAUUUGAUAAAGUGUUGAUAAAUUAAAAUUAAUACAGUGCGUUAAUUUUUCGAAAUUAUAUAAUGGCAUAAUUAUCAUUGAUUUUUGUGUUUAUUAUAUGCAUUUGUAUGAUUAA
rnacentral:rRNA from 1 species